rnacentral:rRNA from 1 species
CCUUUGCAGACGACUU